rnacentral:rRNA from 1 species
UCCGGACUCCUACGGGAGGCAGCAGUGAGGAAUAUUGGUCAAUGGGCGGAAGCCUGAACCAGCCAAGUCGCGUGAGGGAUUAAGGCCCUAUGGGUCGUAAACCUCUUUUGUCAGGGAGCAAUGGCGUCCACGUGUGGGCGUAUGGAGAGUACCUGAAGAAAAAGCAUCGGCUAACUCCGUGCCAGCAGCCGCGGUAAUACGGAGGAUGCGAGCGUUAUCCGGAUUUAUUGGGUUUAAAGGGUGCGCAGGCGGAGGUGCAAGUCAGUGGUCAAAUUGCGGGGCUCAACCCCGUACUGCCGUUGAAACUGCAUCCCUUGAGUGCGCGAGAAGUAUGCGGAAUGCGUGGUGUAGCGGUGAAAUGCAUAGAUAUCACGCAGAACUCCGAUUGCGAAGGCAGCAUACCGGCGCGCAACUGACGCUCAUGCACGAAAGCGUGGGUAUCGAACAGGAUUAGAUACCCCAGUA